AGCCAACUUGACCAUAAAUUUUAUUUAAAAAAAUAAACAAUAAAUUUAAACUUAAAAAUUAAAAAAAAAUAAUCUAGCAAGGACAGUUUUGUAGUUCAUGCAAAAGAAGGUUAUUACAAGACAGAAUUGAUGACACAGGGCUCACUGAUCAGAAGAAUCCUGUCUCCAUACUCACCUGGGUCUGUAACCUCUUAACCUUACAAGAGUAUUUCACCAGCAGCCUUUUAGGAAGUUUUCAGAUCGAAUUCUGUGAGCCACAUCUGAACGAUACAAUGUAGAAAAUCGUAGAUUUUCAAGUUCAAGGGGGUUAUAUUUUCCGGCUCGUCAUUUUCCUUCUGCUCUUGCCCCUGCCUCUGCCGAGAAAUCUCCUUCCUGCUCAUGCGUCAGAGCUCAGCUCUAGUGUCAGUCCUCCAGAAAGCCUUUCCCAGCUCCUAGCCCUACAUCAGGCUCCUUGUAGAACAUUCCAGAGAAUCGCGGGUUUUUUUUUUUUUCUUUAUGACAGUUAUCUCAGUUUGUAAUUGUACAUUUAUGAGUAGAGGUGUUUUUUCAUUAAUGUCUUUUCCACUAAACGAUAAACCGCAUGAAAGUAGGGAGCAUGUAUUUGCUGUUUUUGUUGUUUACCGUCGUCAUAGCCCCAGAGCCUGGGAUGGCACAUUGAAAGUGUUAACUAGGUUUUUGUUGAUGCUGUUGAAUGCAUAAACUGAAAACAGUACAGAACCACUGCAGUAGGUAUAAUGCGUCUAUGAAACGCUGAAUUCAAAAUCCUACUUGGUUUCUGGCACACAACCCCACUCUUCCACUCCUUCCCCGCCCCCACUCCCUCCAUCUUGUUGGGUUUCCUUCAUCUGUAGGCUGUUGUUAAGAUUUCAGCAGCUAGUGGUUUUCUGGUGGUCUCGAUCAAGGGCUCACUCAGAGCUGGGGCUGGGGAAGAAGAAAGCGAGUAUGAGGAAAGCCCUGGAAGGGGAACAGGAUAGAGACACAGUGUUGGGCAAGAGUGGGGCUAAAAUCCUUAGCUGUGGAGGCUGCAUAGUUUCACAGAGAACCUAAUAGGGCGGCUUUCCUUCUUUCCAGAGGCUCUACCAUUUAAGCUGCCUGUUGGCUGCUUUUACCUGUUAGCUGCAGCCCUCACCAGGACUCCCCUCCUGUAGAAUGGAAGAAAAUUGAAUCUUGCUGCACCCCUCGUUUUCACACGUGGUCAGCAGACAUACCCGUGGCCUUCUUCCCCUUCACUUGGAUUUGGGAUGCUGCGGUGAGAACAGCCAGGGUACUUGUGAAUGUUGGGGUUUGAGUGAUUCAUGGUGAUUGCAAUAUGGCAGAUGCUACUGAAGUGUGAUAAGGCAAUGGGAAAGGUGAGAGAACAAGAGAGGAUAGGGCAGUUGCCUUCUUUCUCUCCCUCUCUGUGCCAUCAGUCCCCUCAGACUUACGUGAACAGGUCCUGGAAGUUUGCAAGGGUGGGAGUUCAGUCCAAUACCAAUCAAUAUGGAGGCCGGGGGAUGCAGCCUAAAUCCCACUCCAGAGUCUCUUGAAUUUUACUACAUGUGCAUGUUCUCUUUUGUGGCAUAAAUUAUAAUCCUUAAAGCGAGGACCCAUCGUGGUACUAUUUUGCCUAGUGUGUUUUCUCCCUAAAAAUAUUUCCACGGCCCUUUCUCGCCUUCUCAAGGGUCAGUCCUUUCCUAAUUGUUUAUCUCUACCUCCCAGACUUGGACAAAUAGGUAAUAAGUAAUUUUGUGACUGCUUAAGAAAUACCUCACCCCAGGGCAGAAAGAGAAUCUGAUUCUCCUAAAUUAAUUACAGCCACUUUAGAAUGGUGGUGGUAAACUUGCCACUUGGCUCAUUCUUUCAGCAAAUAUCUUGUAAGGACCUUGUAUGGCAGUGCUGUAGGCAUUAAGUGUGUAUCAGUGGUGAAAGCCAGAGGUAAUGUUCUUUCCCUUUUGGAAUUUAAAGAGCACUCCAUGAAGAGCUUAAAAACCGGAAUUAGAAGAAGCCUCUGAAAUAAUUAAAGCUGACUUGUUCAUUGAGAAGAUGGUGCUUGGCGAAGGAAGAUCAGAUCAGUGGGAACCAGGAUGCCCUCAUCACCACCACCAUAGAAAUGAAACCCUGGCCUUACAUUCCAACUGGGACCACAUUUCCUUGACAUAAAAAAAAAAAAAAAAGCCACUCGAUUCUCUUUUCCAACGGUGAUGAGCUAAGUAUUGAGGAGUUCAACCAAAAGUAACCUUGGAGAUAAUGCUGACUGACAUCAGCCAACCACGGACUCCAGGUCUGGGUAGCAAUGGGGCUCAGCACCCUGCGGCUUUUGAUAGCAUUUGCCGGAGGGGCAACCAAGAUGCUUCAGAUCAGUGUGUUUUAAACGUGCAGAGCGUUUGUGGUGUUGGUGGUAGUGUUUUGCUGUUGUGUAAAGUAUAUGGGUAAAUAUAAAUAAAAGAUAGUUUUUUUUUUAA